GAUGAACGCUGGCGGCGUGCUUAACACAUGCAAGUCGAACGAAGCUGCUUAACUGAUCUUCUUCGGAAUUGAUGUUUUGUAGACUGAGUGGCGGACGGGUGAGUAACGCGUGGGUAACCUGCCCUGUACAGGGGGGAUAACAGUCAGAAAUGACUGCUAAUACCGCAUAAGACCACAGCACCGCACGGUGCAGGGGGAAAAACUCCGGUGGUACAGGAUGGACCCGCGUCUGAUUAGCUGGUUAGUGAGGUAACGGCUCACCAAGGCGACGAUCAGUAGCCGGCUUGAGAGAGUGAACGGCCACAUUGGGACUGAGACACGGCCCAAACUCCUACGGGAGGCAGCAGUGGGGAAUAUUGCACAAUGGGGGAAACCCUGAUGCAGCGACGCCGCGUGAGUGAAGAAGUAUUUCGGUAUGUAAAGCUCUAUCAGCAGGGAAGAAAAUGACGGUACCUGACUAAGAAGCCCCGGCUAACUACGUGCCAGCAGCCGCGGUAAUACGUAGGGGGCAAGCGUUAUCCGGAAUUACUGGGUGUAAAGGGUGCGUAGGUGGUAUGGCAAGUCAGAAGUGAAAACCCAGGGCUUAACUCUGGGACUGCUUUUGAAACUGUCAGACUGGAGUGCAGGAGAGGUAAGCGGAAUUCCUAGUGUAGCGGUGAAAUGCGUAGAUAUUAGGAGGAACAUCAGUGGCGAAGGCGGCUUACUGGACUGAAACUGACACUGAGGCACGAAAGCGUGGGGAACAAACAGGAUUAGAUACCCUGGUAGUCCACGCCGUAAACGAU
rnacentral:rRNA from 1 species